rnacentral:lncRNA from 1 species
AAAGUGCGCCACCACCGCCCGGCCGAGUUCCAGGUAUCUUAAAGAAAAAUAGUUGAUGCCUGAGGAAUGAAACCUCAUGUUGACCUCUGGCCUUCACACACAUGCAUAUACCUGUAUAUUCUCACACACACACACACAAAAUUGGCCCGGUCAUAAGGAGCAACCUACCUACAGUGGAGACAGCAGAGCCGGCCUCGUCCAGUACAUCCACUGACUCCGCCAACUGGAGCUGGAUUUUUGGCACCACAGUGAGAAUAGCAAGGACAUCCAAAGCAAAACGCACAGUAUCAUUCCUAAACAGGAAGAAAAACUGGUCAACUGGGAACUACAAUACAGCAACAAAAUAAAUAAAUUAAAAAAACAAAAAUACAACACGUUGAAAUCACCAUUUAAACAGUUCUAUUUUGUAAAUAUUUAAAACUAUGAGAAUAUACUGGAAACUCUAGAAAAUAAUCUGGAAGCCAGGCAGUGGUGGCACACACCUUUGAUCCCAACACUUGGGAGGCAAUGGCAGGAGGCAGGAGGAUCUCUGUGAAUAUUGUCACCAGCCUGGUCUACACAGUGUGUUACAGUCAGCCAGGACGAAACAGAGAAACCCUGUCUCAGGAAACCAAAAAAAAAAAAUCUGGAGAUUUGAAUGAUGGCAAUUAUAUUUACUAAUUAGUGUAUUGUCACAGUGUGUGCAGUCAAAAGACAGCCUUCUGGAUUUGGUUCUCUUCUUCUAUCAUGUUGGUUCCAGAGACCAAAACAGGUCACCAGACUUGGAGGCAAUUUCUUUCCCACUGAACCAUAUCACUUGCCCAAAACAGGGUUUUUCUUUUUCUUUUUUUUUUCUUUAAAUAAUUUUGUCUUCUUUUUUAAACUUACUUAGAGCCAGACAGUGAGCCACACCUUUAAUCCCAGCAUGUAGGAGGCAGAGGCAGGUGGAUCUCUGUUACUUUGAGGUCACCCUGGUCUAUAGAGUGAGUUCCAGAACAGCUAUGUAGAGAGAGCCUGUCUCUUAACCACUGAGCUAUCUCCAGCACAAGACCCUGUCUCAAAAAAGAAAACAAUAAAGAGGGAGAAACAAGUGUUUAUGUAUCUCCUAAAAUUCAUUAUCCAAAAUGCUCUGGACCAAAAUCACUUCAAAUUUCAUUCCUUCUGAUUUUAGACUACUUAGGAUCUAUUAGUUGAGAAUCACUAACUAAUCUAAACACUUAAAAUCUAAAAUAUUCCAAAAAUCAAUGACAGCAAACUACCCUGUAACUGCUGAAAAUUAUUUUUUAAAAAACAGAUUUCACAGGAAAGGUUUCAAAAUAUAAAUAAGUGAAAGAAAAAAUGUAAAACACAAAUCUAAAACCAAGUACCAAACAUUUAUAAGGUGGGAAACUAUUAAGAUCACUUUACAAUCACAUUUACAGCUUUACAACAUCUAGUUAAGGGUGAAAAUGAAGAUAUGCUAUAACCUGUGUUAUACACACCACAACCUCAAACACCAAUCAUGAAUAAACAGUACAGAAAUACAGCAUUUUAAAUAUUAAUGUGAAAAAGCAAAUUGUAAAAAGACGAACAUAGCUGGAAAUAGUAUUAUAUGCCUAUUACUCAGAGGUAAAGCAGAAAGAAUUAUCUAAGCCAAGGCUAACCUGGCCUUAAUAGGUAGUUCAGAGUCAACUUUAAUUAUAUAUAAUAGAACCCUGUUUCAAAAAAUAACAGGUGAGGGCUGGAGAAAUGACUCAGCAGUUAAGAACAUUGGCUGCUCUUUUAGAGGACACAGGUUUGAUUCCAAGCACACACACAGCAUCUUAUAAUUCCAUCUCUAGAGCAUCCAAUGUCCUUUUCUGGCCUCCACGGACACUGCAUACAUGUACACAAACCCAGAUGCAAACUAAAUAUCCAUACACAU